CCGCACAAGCGGUGGAGCAUGUGGUUUAAUUCGAUGCAACGCGAAGAACCUUACCUGGUCUUGACAUCCACAGAACUUUCCAGAGAUGG
rnacentral:rRNA from 1 species